rnacentral:rRNA from 1 species
CAUGCCGUAAACGUUGGGAACUAGAUGUGGGGACCAUUCCACGGUCUCCGUGUCGCAGCUAACGCAUUAAGUUCCCCGCCUGGGGAGUACGGCCGCAAGGCUAAAACUCAAAGGAAUUGACGGGGGCCCGCACAAGCGGCGGAGCAUGCGGAUUAAUUCGAUGCAACGCGAAGAACCUUACCAAGGCUUGACAUAUACCUGAAAAGGCUAGAAAUAGUCUCCCCGCAAGGCAGGUAUACAGGUGG